AACUUCUUAUUCAUAUCAAGAAAGGCUUUAAAUACACAUAAAUACUCUUAAACCAAUCACAUUAAAUAUAGCCAUAAAAAGAAAACAACUUAAGAUUAGACUCCUAUUG